UACGUAGGUGGCAAGCGUUGUCCGGAUUUACUGGGCGUAAAGAGCGCGCAGGCGGUCGAUCAAGUCGCGUGUGAAAGCCCCCCGGCUCAACUGGGGAGGGUCACGCGAUACUGAUCGACUGGAAGGCAGGAGAGGGUAGUGGAAUUCCCGGUGUAGUGGUGAAAUGCGUAGAUAUCGGGAGGAACACCAGUGGCGAAGGCGAUUACCUGGCCUGUUCUUGACGCUGAGGCGCGAAAGCUAGGGGAGCAAACGGGG
rnacentral:rRNA from 1 species